AGAGCACUUCGUUAGGUGAGGCUCCUGCGUGAACACAGGCCACUGAUCUGACGACGUCGAGAGAUGCCCAAGAUCAGGACAGGUCUCCCCGGCCUAAGGGGUGACCCCAGGUGGCUUCCCGCCCGGCGGGACACGUCGCGCAGUGCCGAAACUCUUACGUGGAAGUGCCGA
rnacentral:sRNA from 23 species